rnacentral:rRNA from 1 species
AUUCCAGCUCCAAUAGCGUAUAUUUAAGUUGUUGCAGUUAAAAAGCUCGUAGUUGGAUUUCGGGUGGGCUGCGCCGGUCUCCUAACGGUUGUACUGGCGACGCCUGCCUUGCUGCCGGGGACGGGCUCCUGCCUUUACUGUCGGGACCCGGAAUCGGCGACGUUACUUUGAGUAAAUUAGAGUGUUCAAAGCAAGCCUACGCUCUGAAUAUAAUAGCAUGGGAUAACACGACAGGACUCUGGCCUAUCGUGUUGGUCUGUAGGACCAGAGUAAUGAUUAAGAGGGACAGUCGGGGGCACUCGUGUUCCGUUGUCAGAGGUGAAAUUCUUGGAUUUACGGAAGACGAACAUCUGCGAAAGCAUUUGCCAAGGAUGUUUUCAUCG